rnacentral:rRNA from 1 species
AGGGCACCACCAGGAGUGGAGCCUGCGGCUUAAUUUGACUCAACACGGGAAAUCUCACCAGGCCCGGACACCGGAAGGAUUGACAGAUUGAGAGCUCUUUCUUGAUUCGGUGGGUGGUGGUGCAUGGCCGUUCUUAGUUGGUGGAGCGAUUUGUCUGGUUAAUUCCGAUAACGAACGAGACUCUGGCCUACUAACUAGACGUUAGAUCCCUUUGUGGGUCUAUCGCAGCUUCUUAGAGGGACGGGCGGCGUUUAGCCGCACGAGAUUGAGCAAUAACAGGUCUGUGAUGCCCUUAGAUGUUCUGGGCUGCACGCGCGCUACACUGAAGGAAUCAGCGUGUGUUCCCUGUCCGAAAGGACUGGGAAACCCGUUGAACCUCCUUCGUGAUGGGGAUUGGGGAUUGCAAUUAUUCCCCAUGAACGAGGAAUUCCCAGUAGGCGCGAGUCAUAAGCUUGCGUCGAUUACGUCCCUGCCCUUUGUACGCACCGCCCGUCGCUACUACCGAUCGAGUGAUUUAGU